UCCAGAACUGCAGAAGCUGAAAGACAGGAGAACCUCAAAAAUGGCUGUGGGAAGAGCGAAUUGUGUGGAAUAAUUUUGACCUCAAGAUCUGUUUGGGACUUCCAGUUCUGAGGACCUGAGCUAUGUCUUGCCCCCUGUGGCAUGUCUGCACUGCUGUCAAUGCCACCCCUGGCACAGAUGGUUGAAUAAGCCAUCAGGAUGACUUGAUUCUCCUGCUUGAGACCUGGAGCUACUGAGAAGUCCAAAUAUUAAACUUGGAAUGUACUGGAGAGACCCUGUGAGCUAGAGCUCUUUUUAUGUUGCCUUGCUGAAGUUUAUGGUGUGUAUAUAUGAUUUUUAAAUCUAUAAUUACUUUUAUGUAAGAGUGAAACUAGAGAUUUUGCAUUGUUACUUGAAGCAGCUGCUUCUUGUGAGAAAAAUUGUUUUCAUUUAAAAAGGAAAGCAAUAAUCUUUAC
rnacentral:lncRNA from 1 species